ACGGAAGGCAGCAGUGGGGAAUAUUGCACAAUGGGGGAAACCCUGAUGCAGCGAUGCCGCGUGGAGGAAGAAGGUUUUCGGAUUGUAAACUCCUGUCUUAAAGGACGAUAAUGACGGUACUUUAGGAGGAAGCUCCGGCUAACUACGUGCCAGCAGCCGCGGUAAUACGUAGGGAGCGAGCGUUGUCCGGAAUUACUGGGUGUAAAGGGAGCGUAGGCGGGACUGCAAGUCAGAUGUGAAAUGCCGGGGCUUAACCCCGGAGCUGCAUUUGAAACUGUGGUUCUUGAGUGAAGUAGAGGCAAGCGGAAUUCCUGGUGUAGCGGUGAAAUGCGUAGGUAUCAGGAGGAACACCGGUGGCGAAGGCGGCUUGCUGGGCUUUUACUGACGCUGAGGCUCGAAAGCGUGGGUAGCAAACAGGAUUAGAUACCCUGGUA
rnacentral:rRNA from 1 species